GCGCCGUUGUACUACUAAGGCUCAGCCUUGCGGUGGCUGCUUUCCCCUCUUUGCAAAGAGAAGGGAACGGCUCAAACCAGUGGGCGUCUUUGUGAGGCUGUCCAGCGUAGCAAGUCUACUCGCUGAGCAGUUCCCCCCCCAGGGGCGCCAGUCAACGAACGUUUGGCCUCGGAUCAGGUAGGGAUACCCGCUGAACUUAA
rnacentral:misc_RNA from 1 species